rnacentral:rRNA from 1 species
GCAAGUCGUACGCUUCUUUUUCCCCGGAGCUUGCUCCACCGGAAAAAGAAGAGUGGCGAACGGGUGAGUAACACGUGGGUAACCUGCCCAUCAGAAGGGGAUAACACUUGGAAACAGGUGCUAAUACCGUAUAACAAUCGAAACCGCAUGGUUUUGAUUUGAAAGGCGCUUUCGGGUGUCGCUGAUGGAUGGACCCGCGGUGCAUUAGCUAGUUGGUGAGGUAACGGCUCACCAAGGCCACGAUGCAUAGCCGACCUGAGAGGGUGAUCGGCCACAUUGGGACUGAGACACGGCCCAAACUCCUACGGGAGGCAGCAGUAGGGAAUCUUCGGCAAUGGACGAAAGUCUGACCGAGCAACGCCGCGUGAGUGAAGAAGGUUUUCGGAUCGUAAAACUCUGUUGUUAGAGAAGAACAAGGAUGAGAGUAACUGUUCAUCCCUUGACGGUAUCUAACCAGAAAGCCACGGCUAACUACGUGCCAGCAGCCGCGGUAAUACGUAGGUGGCAAGCGUUGUCCGGAUUUAUUGGGCGUAAAGCGAGCGCAGGCGGUUUCUUAAGUCUGAUGUGAAAGCCCCCGGCUCAACCGGGGAGGGUCAUUGGAAACUGGGAGACUUGAGUGCAGAAGAGGAGAGUGGAAUUCCAUGUGUAGCGGUGAAAUGCGUAGAUAUAUGGAGGAACACCAGUGGCGAAGGCGGCUCUCUGGUCUGUAACUGACGCUGAGGCUCGAAAGCGUGGGGAGCAAACAGGAUUAGAUACCCUGGUAGUCCACGCCGUAAACGAUGAGUGCUAAGUGUUGGAGGGUUUCCGCCCUUCAGUGCUGCAGCUAACGCAUUAAGCACUCCGCCUGGGGAGUACGACCGCAAGGUUGAAACUCAAAGGAAUUGACGGGGGCCCGCACAAGCGGUGGAGCAUGUGGUUUAAUUCGAAGCAACGCGAAGAACCUUACCAGGUCUUGACAUCCUUUGACCACUCUAGAGAUAGAGCUUCCCCUUCGGGGGCAAAGUGACAGGUGGUGCAUGGUUGUCGUCAGCUCGUGUCGUGAGAUGUUGGGUUAAGUCCCGCAACGAGCGCAACCCUUAUUGUUAGUUGCCAUCAUUUAGUUGGGCACUCUAGCAAGACUGCCGGUGACAAACCGGAGGAAGGUGGGGAUGACGUCAAAUCAUCAUGCCCCUUAUGACCUGGGCUACACACGUGCUACAAUGGGAAGUACAACGAGUCGCGAAGUCGCGAGGCUAAGCUAAUCUCUUAAAGCUUCUCUCAGUUCGGAUUGUAGGCUGCAACUCGCCUACAUGAAGCCGGAAUCGCUAGUAAUCGCGGAUCAGCACGCCGCGGUGAAUACGUUCCCGGGCCUUGUACACACCGCCCGUCACACCACGAGAGUU